CAAAAUCUUGAUGAACAGGAAACCGAUUGUUGAAGUAAGUGAAAGGCAAAAAUUCUUUUUGUGUGAAAGUCCACUGGAUUUUUGAAGACAUGUGUGUAUAAACGAUCGAUGAGAAAAACAAUGGAUCUGUGGAGGAGAACUGGUAGACACACACUGUUGAAGGUGCAGCACACGAAAGCAACCAACCUUCACUGGAGACGGGGUCUCACUGAAUUGCUUAGCACCUCGCUGUUGCUGAGGCUGACUUUGAACUCUCCAUCCUCCUGCAUCAGCCUCCAGAGCCGCUGGGAUUACAGGUCUGAGUGCAACUGACUGGCUCUUCAUGCCUCUACUUUCCACAAUGGUCCCACUCCCGUUCCAGCCAGUGUUUCUUGUGGCUGAAGACAUUUAAAGAAUCAUCAGUCAUCCAUACAGAGGUUCACCAUCAAGCCAUGUUGGCUGCUGGUCCUUCUCUGACUACUGCCUCCUCUAACCCUCCCUGAUUAUAGUAACUAUAAACCCACACAGUUCUGGUUCAUUUUACCUAUUCUUGGACCUCAUAUAUUGAAAAAAUAUAUAUAGCAUUUUACCUUUUCUAUGUCUGGUUGCUUUGGUUUAGUAAAAUACUUUUAAAAUUCA